AACCCUCUUAUUAUAAAACGCGGUAUCAAAUAAGUAUCGGCUUUUGUACUACCUUUAAUCCACCUUUAAGUACGACCUUGAAAAAACGUUAUUACAAAACGCAGUUUAUCGCAAGUCCUAUUACUAUCUGUAGUACAAAAGAUAAACCAUUGAGCCCCCUAGUUUAACUGCAGUACUUAGUCGACAAACGUCAAAUUCCGACAUUAUUUACUUUUGAGGUUAUUUGUUUUGUGAUGAAAAAAACGAAAGUGGAUAUAAAUAUGUGUGAUUUGGAAUACUUGGAUGUGUUAGAAUACUAUUGAGAGUGUCCGGGGACCCAACAGAAUGCGUCAUCGACAAAAUCUCUUCAAAUUACCUGACGACAAUUUUCGAUAUAAAUAUCGAUUUACGUUUUUCGAAAUAAUAGUCAAUUGAAUGCAUGAUGAUAAUCCAGGAUGAUCCUAUGAUGCUCAACUGGGCUCGCCAUAAAAUUCAAGACUAUUUUGGCGUUUUGCACGCCGUAUCUCUGCCAGUAAUAUGCAAUGUUUGGAAAAGACUGGAAGCUUGCUAAAAUGUACAAAAAUGCCUAGAUGAGAAAGGAAACAAGAUUGUGUGAUGAAGAACAGUGUCCAACAUGUGUCAGUGCAUUUGACUGUAUAAAUAGACAUCGGAAUAAAAUAUAAUUUUCUACUU
rnacentral:lncRNA from 1 species